rnacentral:rRNA from 1 species
CACGUGAGGAACGUGCCCCAGAGACCGGGAUAAGCCGAGGAAACUUGGUCUAAUACCGGAUGUCCCCACCGGAUCGCAUGGUCUGGUGAGGAAAUGGAUUCCGCUCUGGGAGCGUCUCGCGGCCUAUCAGCUAGUUGGUGAGGUAACGGCCCACCAAGGCGUCGACGGGUAGCUGGUCUGAGAGGAUGAUCAGCCACACUGGGACUGAGACACGGCCCAG